rnacentral:rRNA from 1 species
GAACUCUAAGUCAGCCACGAAUAGGCUAUCCCAACUAACGGCGGGAAAGACUCCACGGAGGGUGUAAGACCCGUGUGGGCGCGUGUCAAAGCUGUGCGGGCUCGGCCUCUUUUCCCUGAGAGUCGCGUUGCUUGAGCAUGCAGCGCUAAGCAGGUCGUAAACUCGAUCUAAGGCUAAAUAUGUCCACAGAACCGAUAGCGAACAAGUACCGUGAGGGAAAGUUGAAAAGCACUCUGGAGAGAGAGUCAAAAGACCGUGAAACCGCUCAGAGUAUAAGCCCAUGGCAGCUUGGAAGGCAUAUCGCUAGCGGGGCAUCGGUCUUCCUUCUCGGAGGGAGCUGGUGUUACCUUGCUACUGUUGUGGCUCGUCAAGGUAGGGGGGUCAAGUCCACAUCCCGCCGUCGUGUGGGAGGUUCUUGGGCGCGUUGUGGUCUUUCGGUUGACUUCGGUCGGUCGUUGGGUUCUUCGUGCUUGGUUCCUUCUUUUUUUGCACGGACGUUCAGACUCAGAAGCAAGACGCGAUAACCAGCCCACCACGGCACGUUGUGAGGUCACCCACAGACUUAGCUUUCGAUUGUGAUCCUUGACGCCGAGCAAGCAGCCCAAUGCGUGUCGCUAAGUUUCUAACCAGGCUUUUUCCAAGGUGCC